rnacentral:rRNA from 1 species
AACGAACGCUGGCGGCGCGCCUAAUACAUGCAAGUCGAGCGAGAAGACGUAGCAAUACGUUUGUAAAGCGGCGAACGGGUGAGGAAUGCAUGGGGUAACCUACCCUCGAGUGGGGAAGUAACUAGCCGAAGGUUAGCUAAUACCGCGUACGCUCCUUGGACUUCGGUUCAGGGAGGAAAGCGAUACCGUGGGUAGUCGCGCUCUUGGAUGGGCUCAUGUCCUAUCAGCUUGUUGGUGAGGUAACGGCUCACCAAGGCUUCGACGGGUAGCUGGUCUGAGAGGACGAUCAGCCACACUGGCACUGCGACACGGGCCAGACUCCUACGGGAGGCAGCAGUAAGGAAUAUUGCGCAAUGGGCGAAAGCCUGACGCAGCGACGCCGCGUGGGGGAGUGAA